GACGAACGCUGGCGGCGUGCUUAACACAUGCAAGUCGAACGGAAAGGCCCUGCUUUUGUGGGGUGCUCGAGUGGCGAACGGGUGAGUAACACGUGAGUAACCUGCCCUUGACUUUGGGAGAACUUCAGGAAACUGGGGCUAAUACCGGAUAGGAGCUCCUGCUGCAUGGUGGGGGUUGGAAAGUUUCGGCGGUUGGGGAUGGACUCGCGGCUUAUCAGCUUGUUGGUGGGGUAGUGGCUUACCAAGGCUUUGACGGGUAGCCGGCCUGAGAGGGUGACCGGCCACAUUGGGACUGAGAUACGGCCCAGACUCCUACGGGAGGCAGCAGUGGGGAAUAUUGCACAAUGGGCGGAAGCCUGAUGCAGCAACGCCGCGUGCGGGAUGACGGCCUUCGGGUUGUAAACCGCUUUCGCCUGUGACGAAGCGUGAGUGACGGUACUGGGUAAAGAAGCACCGGCUAACUACGUG
rnacentral:rRNA from 1 species